AGGGAAAUAGCCCAGUGGUGGAGUGCAUGCUUAGCAUGCUUGAGAUCCUGGGCUCAAUCCCCAGUACCUCCA
rnacentral:tRNA from 1 species